rnacentral:rRNA from 1 species
GGAUUAGGCAUGCAAGUCGAACGAGGGAAUAUUCUUCGGAAUAUAAAUCGAGUGGCGAAAGGGUGAGUAAUGCAUAGAUGACAUACCUUUAGGAUAAGAAUAGCUUUGUGAAAACGGAGAUAAUGCUUAAUAAUUACGAAGUAAAAUCAAUUUUCUUCGUCAAAGGGGGGGCAGCAAUGCCUCUUGCCUAGAGAGUGGUUUAUGUCCUAUCAGCUAGUUGGUGGGGUAAUGGCCUACCAAGGCUAAGACGGGUAGCCGGCCUUAGAGGGUGGUCGGCCACACUGGGACUGAGACACUGCCCAGACUUCUACGGAAGGCUGCAGUCGAGAAUCUUUCGCAAUGCCCGAAAGG